UACGUAGGGUGCAAGCGUUGUCCGGAAUUAUUGGGCGUAAAGAGCUCGUAGGCGGUUUGUUGCGUCGGCUGUGAAAUCCCGAGGCUCAACCUCGGGUCUGCAGUCGAUACGAGCAAACUAGAGUGUUGCAGGGGAGACUGGAAUUCCUGGUGUAGCGGUGAAAUGCGCAGAUAUCAGGAGGAACACCGGUGGCGAAGGCGGCGACCUGGGUCGAUACUGACGCUGAGGUGCGAAAGCGUGGGGAGCAAACAGG
rnacentral:rRNA from 1 species